GAUGAACGCUGGCGGCGUGCCUAAUACAUGCAAGUCGAGCGAACACACGAGUAGCUUGCUCCUGUUUCGUUAUCAUCGAACAGCUUAUUAACGAGUGGAGAACGGACGUGUAACACUUGGAUAACUUCGGGUAACGUGGGCGAAUACAGUAUGAUAUAGUUAACCAUAUCGUUUAAUAGUUAAAACCGCUUGUUCUAGCGCUGAUAGAUGGUUCCGGGUCGCAUUAGUUAGUUGGUAAGGUAAAGGCUCACCAAGACCGCGAUGCAUAGCCGACCUGAGAGGGUAAUCGGCCACACUGGGACUGAGGCACGGCCCAGACUCCUACGGGAGGCAGCAGUAGGGAAUCUUCCACAAUGGACGAAAGUCUGAUGGAGCAACGCCGCGUGAGUGAAGAAGGUUUUCGGAUCGUAAAACUCUGUUGUUGGAGAAGAAUGUAUCUGAUAGUAACUGAUCAGGUAGUGACGGUAUCCAACCAGAAAGCCACGGCUAACUACGUG
rnacentral:rRNA from 1 species